AAAAAAGCUUUGAGUAGGAAGAGUACAUUCAGAACCUUUUAGAGAGAAGAAUCCUUGGCUGUAAGAUUCUUUAAGCUGUAUGAAUGGAAGGUCGCCUAUGAGCCACUUAACUGAAAGACAGUAGGUUAAGUCGGGAAAACCCGUUAACAUGUUGAGUGUACACGAAUGCUCUUUUAUUUGUGUAAACAAAGGUGGUACCGCGAAUCAACUCUCUUCGUCCUUUGG
rnacentral:ncRNA from 1 species